GAUGAAGAACGUAGCGAAAUGCGAUACGUAAUGUGAAUUGCAAAUUCAGUGAAUCAUCGAGUCUUUGAACGCACAUUGCGCCCCCUGGUAUUCCGGGGGGCAUGCCUGUCCGAGCGUCAUUGCUGCCCUCAAGCACGGCUUGUGUGUUGGGCCCCGUCCUCCGAUCCCGGGGGACGGCCCGAAAGGCAGCGGCGGCACCGCGUCCGGUCCUCGAGCGUAUGGGGCUUUGUCACCCGCUCUGUAGGCCCGGCCGGCGCUUGCCGAUCAACCCAAAUUUUUAUCCAGGUUGACCUCGGAUCAGGUAGGGAUACCCGCUGAACUUAAGCAUAUCAAUAAGCGGAGGA
rnacentral:misc_RNA from 1 species